AAAUAGAACUUUGCAGAGAGAGUUAACAGGGCGUGAAACCGUUGAUUGGCAAACGAAUCGGAGCCACGAAGUCGUUUCGUUGUUAGUUGGGCGGAGUUCAGUUCGCGCCGAAAGACGCGGGCGUAUUCUCACGCUCAUCCAACCUUGUAAGCGUACACUGCAACUUGUUAGACGAUCAGCUGUGGGCUGAGUGACGCAGAGCGAGCAAUCGCGCUGCGGCACGCAUUGUCUGUUCGCUCGCGGUAGUAGUAGCGCAGCUGACUUCGGUCUUUUUGUGUUGCUGGCCGCGUGGCGGGUGAACUACAGCUGAAUACUGACAAGCGAAAUGAAAACCGUUGAAAAACGUUAGAGAAAAAGCGGUUGGUCACAUGGAUGUUUACACGUUCGACUGUUAGGCCUAAGCUUGGCAUUUUUGAAUUCAGACCUGCUUGCUACCAGUGGGGCAACUCCUGGUGCUUGUACGGCUUCUGUCUAAUCGGGUGUCGACUUGGCUUGGCAUCGUUCGGGCGUGAAACGAUUGAGCGUUCAUAUGAACUAAUCCGCAAUUUAAAUUGGCAGUGAGUAGGUCGGCUUUCCGAACGA
rnacentral:rRNA from 1 species